rnacentral:lncRNA from 1 species
CUUUUUUUCUUUUUCUUUUUUUUUUUUGAGAGAGAUAGGUAGUACGCUACCCACUUCGUUUAUUUUAUUUAGAAAUAAACUUAGCUAGAAAUGUGAAUAAACUAGGAUUCGAACUUGGGUCUCGAGUACCAACCACUAAGCCCUUUGCCACUUACUCUAGGAAUGGUCAGUAAUUCUUACCAAUUCUUAGCAUCGUUUGAACAAUAAGAAGAAUAUAUUUCUUAUUCUUCCUUUAUCUCUUAAACC